CCUACGGGUGGCUGCAGUGAGGAAUAUUGGUCAAUGGACGAGAGUCUGAACCAGCCAAGUAGCGUGAAGGAUGACUGCCCUAUGGGUUGUAAACUUCUUUUAUAUGGGAAUAAAAUGUGGCACGUGUGGGAUUUUGUAUGUACCAUAUGAAUAAGGAUAGGCUAACUCCGUGCCAGCAGCCGCGGUAAUACGGAGGUUCCGAGCGUUAUCCGGAUUUAUUGGGUUUAAAGGGAGCGUAGGGGGAUUGUUAAGUCAGUUGUGAAAGUUUGCGGCUCCACCGUAAAAUUGCCGUUGAAACUGGCAGUCUUGAGUACAGUAGAGGUGGGCGGAAUUCGUGGUGUCGCGGUGCAAUGCUUAGGUAUCACGCAGAACUCCGAUUGCGAAGGCAGUUCACUGGACUGCAACUGACACUGAGGCUCGAAAGUGUGGGUAUCAAACAGGAUUAGAUACCCUGGUAGUC
rnacentral:rRNA from 1 species